GAUGAACGCUGGCGGCGUGCCUAAUACAUGCAAGUCGAGCGAACGGACGAUAAUCUUGCUUCUCUCAUGUUAGCGGCGGACGGGUGAGUAACACGUGUAUAACCUACCUAUAAGACUGGGAUAACUUCGGGAAACCGGCGCUAAUACCGGAUAAUAUUUUGAACCGCAUGGUUCAAAGGUGAAAGACGGUCUUGCUGUCACUUCUAGAUGCAUCCGGGCUGCAUUAGAUAGUUGUUAAGGUAACGGCUUACCAAGGCAACGAUGCAUAGCCGACCUGAGAGGGGGAUAGCCGGCACGGGAACUGAGACACGGUCAAGACGACUAAGGGAGGCAGCAGAAGGGAAUCGUACGCAACAGUGGAAAGUAUGACGGAGCAACGGCGCGUGAGAGAUGAAGGUCUUGGGAUCGUAAAAACGUGUUACGAGGGAAGAACAGAUGUGGAAGUAAAUGUGCACAGCGUGACGGUAACUAAUCAGAAAGCAACGGCUAACUACGUG
rnacentral:rRNA from 1 species